UGCAGCAAUUGUUCUCACUUUGGUUGU
rnacentral:piRNA from 1 species